AUAUAUAUAUAUAUACGUGAUAUAUGUAUGUGUAUAUAAUCGAUUGCGACGGAAAAUUACAGUAACAAUUAUUGAGGUAACAAUGAGUAUCUGCGUUUUUUGCAAAACAAAGCAAUCAAAAUAUCGUGGGCGAUCAUUUCACAAAUUUCCCGUGAAAGAUGUGUUGCGCGUUCAGCAUUGGUUAGAA